AGAGAGACUGCCAGGGAUAACCUGGAGGAAGGUGGGGAUGACGUCAAAUCAUCAUGCCCCUUAUGCUUAGGGCUACACACGUGCUACAAUGGGUAGUACAGAGGGUUGCCAAGCCGUAAGGCGGAGCUAAUCCCUUAAAGCUACUCUCAGUUCGGAUUGUAGGCUGAAACUCGCCUACAUGAAGCUGGAGUUACUAGUAAUCGCAGAUCAGAAUGCUGCGGUGAAUGCGUUCCCGGGUCUUGUACACACCGCCCGUCACACCACGGGAGUUGGAGACGCCCGAAGCCGAUUAUCUAACCUUUUGGAAGAAGUCGUCGAAGGUGGAAUCAAUAACUGGGGUGAAGUCGUAACAAGGUAGCCGUAUCGGAAGGUGCGGCUGGAUCACCUCCUUUCUAAGGAGA
rnacentral:rRNA from 1 species